UACGUAGGGGGCAAGCGUUGUCCGGAAUCAUUGGGCGUAAAGAGCGUGUAGGCGGCCAUGUAGGUCCGGUGUGAAAACUCGAGGCUCAACCUCGAGACGCCGAUGGAAACCAUGUGGCUAGAGUCCGGAAGAGGAGAGUGGAAUUCCUGGUGUAGCGGUGAAAUGCGCAGAUAUCAGGAAGAACACCCGUGGCUAAGGCGGCUCUCUAGUACGGUACUGGCGCUGAGACGCGAAAGCGUGGGGAGCGAACAGG
rnacentral:rRNA from 1 species